ACAUCAACAGAAAUUCAUUCCUUUCUUCAAUUGGUUCGUCGUUGGUUCUCUAGUUCGAUCUUCUUUAUCGUUUAAGUCUGGUUCGUCUGUUUGUUUUUCGGAAAUGAGCGACCCCAAGUAUGCUUAUCCAUAUCCUGCUCAAGGAUAUUACCAAGGACCCCCUGUAAUGGCACCUCCCCAAUAUGCUGCUCCACCACCCAGGAGAGAACCAGGAUUCCUCGAAGGAUGUCUUGCGGCUUUAUGUUGCUGCUGUCUCAUCGACGAGUGUUGCUGUGAUCCCUCCAUUAUAUUCGUUAGUUGACGAUGAUGAUGAUGAUGAUGAUCCUGCUACAGUUACUCAGAAUUGUUAUUCUCUGGUUUUCUUAGAAUGUUUUUGCUUUUGAUGAUGGUGGAGUGAAGGUU